UUUAUUUGAAUAGUAGCAUAAUAGACGGAAAAAGAAUUAUAAGUGCGUAUAGAAGAUCACAAGGCUCGAGUACUAUAUAAUAACUGAGUCUAUACAUUUUGGGUCUGUUAUUUGGGCUCAAAAAAUUAUUAAUAUUAGUCGGCUGAAUCAUUAUAUUUAGUAGCAGAGUUGAUUUACCACCCAAAAGUAUAAAAUAAUAAUUGAGUUUAAAUAUAUUAAGUAUGAUCAUUUGUGUCCUAAUAAAUUAUUAGUGGACUGAAUCAUUAUAUAAUUAAUAUUUAAUAUAUUUAUAAGUAAGUUAAUAUUAAUCUACACAAGUGAGGAAGAGAUUUUUUUUUUUUUUUUUUUUUUUUAUUCAGCAUUCGGGUUGAUGAGUUAAACCAGAUAGUUAUAUGAGUGAAACUAAACAGCUUAUAAAUUUGUAGUAAGAAGAAAAAAUCUCAUUCCCUAUGUACAAGAAUAAAGUUGAAGUAAACACAAGCAGUGUAAACUGCUUACCCCAAGAUUAAGAUUUUUUGAUUAGUCAUCAUAUCUUGAAGCGGGCGCAAACAAAAGAUCAACUGUAUGGAGUUUCUACUACUGUCUCGUAUGUAUUACUAUACCGGGGAUCAAUCAAAAGUCAGUGGACGGUUAGGAACACCAAGGUACACAAAGGAUUAGUAAUGGAGAUAAUGUAAGGUAUCAAAAAAGAGGUAUUUCCUCAUAAAACGAAUCAUAAUAAGGACUUGAAAUUGGUAGAAAUGAUCAAGUAGUACUUCCCUACGAUUCCGAUCUAGAGUAUGCUCCUAUUCACUGGUUAAAGAAAUN
rnacentral:lncRNA from 1 species